UACGUAGGGUGCAAGCGUUGUCCGGAAUUAUUGGGCGUAAAGAGCUCGUAGGCGGUUCGUCGCGUCGGCUGUGAAAACCUGAGGCUCAACCUCAGGCCUGCAGUCGAUACGGGCGGACUUGAGUACUGCAGGGGAGACUGGAAUUCCUGGUGUAGCGGUGAAAUGCGCAGAUAUCGGAAGGAACAUCAGUGGCGAAAGCGGCUUCCUGGUCCAGCACCGACGUUCAGGCACGAAAGCGUGGGGAGCAAACAGG
rnacentral:rRNA from 1 species